ensembl:lncRNA
CUACUGAGAAAAGAAAAAGAAAACAAACCAUAACAGCAAACCAGUUAGGAAAAGAUGGAUUGUUUAAUAACUGGUAUUUGGACAAAUGGGUAACCUUCUGGAAAGUAAUGAUACUGGAGCCUCCACCAUGUAGAAGAAUUUAACUACAUGUUGACCAAAUUGUAGUCAUGACAUAAGCUGCUAUAAUUCUAAGAAGUGGCCUCAAGGAAAUGGGAACAAACUGACCCUAGAAUGGUAGAUUAAUUACACUUGACACAAUCAAGAUGAUGCUGGGCAACUCAGCACAUGACCCCCGUGGACCAGUGUCCUGAAGCCAGGUCCAUCAACCCUCCUGGAAAGAUGCCCUCUCUAUCUGCAAUCAGAGCAUUUACCUCCUUCAGAGAGGCAGCCUGCUGUCAGAGAACUAUUGUGUUUCCAAGACUAAAGACUGGCAGUGGGCAGGCACCCUCAACCCAGGCUCAACCCAGGCUUCUGGUUAUCACAGCUGCUCAGGAUGCCUUCUGGGGCACACGCCUUGGGAGGGAAGGUGAUUAUCCAUAAGAAGCAAAUGCGAGAUGGAAGAUGGAGAAAGAGUGGGGAAGGCAGCAAAGAAGUCCACCCCUUCGAGGCUCCUCUCCCCACUGUUUAAUGGAAAAAGCAGACGGGAGCUGGGGAAUAUUUUUCUUUUGCUUUGUUGGCUUCAGAAAGCUAAAAAAGAAUCUGCCACCUGUGAUUCUAGCCCAGCUUGCAAAACAUUUUGUUAUUUCAGCUCUGAGUCUGUAGUUAGCAGAUUGUCAGUUUGGCCUCACAGCAAUGCAGCAGCCAAAAAAAGAUUAGACAUUUUAAUUUCCUGAGCAGGUGCGAGUGUCAGGAUUGGUUUUAGAAUCCCAGUGAAAAAUGAAAUGGAAAUGGAGAAGGAAACCGAGACUGGUGCUGUGUGCUUGUGUGUGGUGGAGUGGGGUGGAGUGUGUGGAUGACGGGGAGAUGAAGCAAAACCAAGGAUAAUCUAAGCAUGUGAGAGCAGAAACACAAGAAAUGGCAGAGGGAGGCAGCAGAAGGGGUCAGAGGUUACUGCAGAGAAGUUACUAGAAAUUUCAGGUUCAAAAGGAAAAGGCUAUUUUCCUGAUUUGCCCCCCUGCUCAGCACAGUCUCAUGCAGGAUCAAGGCCAUCUUCAACCCACAGAGUGCCUUUGCGAAAGUGGGAAGCGGUGCUUCUUCCCAGCAGAUGUGGCCACUGCUCUGACUGCCUGUCUUGGUAAACUGAGUGUGGGCUGCAUUUCAUCCCC